UCUACUUAAUUAACAAAUGUCCUUUUUCCAAAACCAUAUUUGAAUGAAUAAAAACUAAGUUGUUUUUGUUAUUAAUUUUUUUUUCAUAAGAAUUUUUACGUUUGCGUUUAUGAUUUUUACUGUAUUAGACGAUAGACCUUUUUUUAUAUAUAGAUUGCGCGAUUUAUGAUACGCAAAUAGCAAAGCAAAUUUAAUAGAAGUUGAAAAACCAAAAUUUUAAAGAUGAAAGCAAAGUUGUCUUUGUUACAAAUCACUUUGGCAAUCUCUUAUAUUGAACCUCCAUCCUCCAUUUCUCUCUAAGUCUUUCUUGUGCUUCUUCUUCUUCUUCUUCUUCUUCUUCUUCUUUUCUCUCUCUCUCUCUCUCUCUCUCUCUCUCUCUCUCUCUCUCUCUCUCUCUCUCUCUCUCUCUCUCUCUCUCUCUCCUCUCUCUCUCUCUCUCUCUCUCUCUCUCUCUCUCUCUCCUAUGAAGACUAUGAUGGUAGCUCAAGAAGGCAUCCAAAGGGAUCGCAUUGAUCCCAAAUCUUAUAUGUCGUGUUUCUGUGUAUGUAUGUAGCGAAUUGGGAUCAUGUCAUCCUUUUGGAUUCCUCCUUUGGUUGCUUCAAGCUUUACAAACAUCAAAUAUCUGCUCCAAGUAUUUUUUUUGAAGAUGGAAAAGAACGUGAAGUUUAUCUUUCAGUUUCAUAAGCAAAACUAAACUAUUCGAUUGAAAGUUCAAGCAACUUGAAGAGUACUGAGAGAGGAGGGAAAAGAGAGUAUAUUGGUGGACAUUUCUCCAAGUACAAGUAAGUAUAUUUUCAUUUAUUUAACCUUUUAACUCUUGAUUUCACCUCAAGAGUUAUGUCACAAUGCCCUUAAAAUUUUUAUGUUGCUGAUACAAUCUUGUAAGUGUGUAAUAUUUGUAUGGGGUUUUUUAUUGUAUUUCAUUUCAAAAGAACCCCAUAUAAAAAUUAGUUUUUCUUCGUGUUAUUCUUAAGCGGGUUUACAUCAAGUUCAAAAUUUUAUGAAAGUUUUUUCUUGUGUGAACGUAAAUUUCCCACUGAGAAGGUUGUAAUGCUUAUUAUCAGUAUAAUCUUUUUGGUCAUGAUACAUCUCAUAAUACUUUUAGAAGUAUGUUAUGAUCGAUGAACAUAUAUAUACACACAUAAAUAUAUACAAUUAGUUUGUUUCCAUUUUUUAUUUUAUAUCAUCACAUAAUAAAUGAUUGAAAAACUAAAUUUGAAUAAUUCUAACGAUUAUUUUGCUUUCAUAUGUAAACACGAUCAUAACUAAAGUCUAAGUCUUUCUAUCAUGCAAAAGAAUAUGAACUUCAUAUACUAAUGAUUUUUCUUGAAACAAUGCUCCUUAAGAAACCGACGAAUAAAAACUCGUUAGAUAUCAUUUAAAACCAACGAAUAAAAUAACAAGACAACUAUCGAUGUCAAAUAGUUGUGGGGAAGGAUAUUUGUCGACAUUAACAUAAGAAAUUCAAACUCGUUUGCUUUGAUGGACGCAUGUUGCCAUGUGACUAGAGCUCGUUUGACAAGUCCAAAAACGAUGUAUGGAUAACGUUUGGAUCAAAUGCAUCGAUCGUGUGGUUGUAGCAUGUGUAUGGAAAGUCAAUCUUUAGGGAAUUCAAUGAAACAUCUUUAAUUAUCUAUGAAAUAAUAAAAAAUACACAAGUUCUAUCCUCCCAGUAUAGUUUAUCUGUAGUUUUAUAGGAAAAAAUAAAUUAAACGAGGUAUUGAUCCCUAAAAGGAAGUUGGUGAUAUUCUGAUUGUAUGAACAUGGGAGAAAAGGUAGGAUAGGCUACUCAAGACACAAUGGGCAUAUAGAAUGAGUGAAGCCCUUUAAGAAAGGGAGUCCAACGCCACAUGAGUUUUUAGACUUGAGGGACUUUAUUUGGAAUCCAAUGAAUUCUGGGCUUCUUUUCAGCAACUUUAAGUCUUUGAAACUAAUUUUAAAAAUAAAGGGAAUCUUGCACAUGGUGAUUAAAUAUAAACUUUUUUUAUUUAGGAACUUUUACUAAAAGUCAUGUGAUCAAGUUUACCAAAUCGUUAAGAACAGUUUUAAAUUACCAAUAAAAAAAUCGACUAAAGUUGCACAUUAAGAAAUAGUGGAACUUCAAAAUCUUUAAUUUACUGUAUUCUAAAAAGGCUUAAAUGUAAGAAAUCUUGCACAACAUGAGUAGCAGAGUAGGCAUGCAAGUUUUUAGCCUCUAAAUAGCAUGUAGCGGAUUAUACUAAUGACGCGUGACCCAUUUCACAAACAAGAAAAUUAUAGAGUUUAAAUAAUAAUUUUUACCAAAUUAUUAUUUAAUAUUUUUACGUUGAAUCUUAUUAAUGUUAGUAAUAAAGCAAACAUAUAAUUAAUAUAUUGGUUUUAUUAAACAUUAUAUUUUAAUUUUUAAGUCAUUGUAUACCAUUAUUUGAUAAUUUUAUGGGAAAACCUUAGAAAAACCCAACAUAUUUUCACCAAAUGCUUAAAAAAACUACUAUAUUGUUUUUUAGUACACUAAAACCCUUAUAUUUUCUAAAAUCCUUAUUUAAGGUUUUCUGAGUUUAGAAAAACCUACUCUAUUUUCAUGAAAGGAUUAAAAAAACCAUUAUAUUAUUUUUUUUUAGUGCAUUUAAACCCUCAAAUUUUUAAAUUUUUUUUAAUCUAAUGAAUUGUAACAAUAGAAACAUUAAGAAUCGAGUACCUAACAUUUUUGGCUAUCUAGGAUUUACCGAGCUCAAUGCCUUAAAUGAUACAUUUUAAAAAAUAUAAGGGUUUUAACGUACAAAAAAAUAAUAUAGUGGUUUUUUUAAGAUGUUGAUGAAAAUAUGUUAGGUUUUUUAUAAGAUUAUCCCUAAUUUUAUAUGUCGUUUAAAUUUAUAUAAAUUAUAUAUCAAACAUAUGAUGAUCUAUAUAUAACGAAUAACAAAAUGUAUAAAAAAAAUAAACACUACAACUUUUAGUAACAUAAAAACACUAAAACAUUUAUUAUAACAUUUAUAUUAAAAAAGAUAUAUAUACAACAAAUAACAAAAGAUAUGAAAAAUAAACAUUAUAAUUUUUAAUAACAUAAAAACAUUAAUUUAAUAGAUAUGGUUAAUGUCAUAAAAACCUUUAAGUUUGCACGAAAUUAUCGGAUUUACCCAAAGUUCAAAUUUGUGUUCGUUUUUGUCUCAAACUUGCAUUAAAUGUUGCGUUUUUACCUAUUAACUGGUUUCCCUUUAAUGAGUCGGUUACCAGUUGCUUAGUUGGAAGAUACGUGGCUCAUUAAAUCCCUUUAUGUAGACCGAUUCAAACAUAUCUCCAUUUGACCUCUUCCACCCCCACAGUUCGUCGUACAAAUUCUUCUUUCUACAAUGGUAAAAUGACAAUUUCCUCUGCAAGAUCAAGCUUCAAAGGUGGUUCAAGAAAGAGGAAGAAGAGGGUAAUCACAUGUGACUGUGGUGAUGUUUGUCAUAUAUCAGUCUCAUGAACCCCUGAGAACCCAGGACGAAAAUUUUGGGGUUGCCUUAAUUAUCAGGUGGAAGGAGGAAACUAUGAUUUUUUUUUCAAAUGGGUGGAUGGCGAACUAGAUCAAGAAAUGGAGAUGUCUCAUACAAAGCAGAUCAAGCCAUUGUUAGAAGUGAUCAUAGGGUUGUUAGUGCUUAUAUUGAUGAUGGUAGCAAUAGUGGUUAUCAAUAUGUAGUUUUGUUGGUUUUGCAAUCUGUUUAUGGUAAUGUAGGAAGGGUAGUGAAGACCUUUUUCAUGUAUUAGCAAUGUAUUAAGGGUAAUCAAGAAUUGUUACAUCUUUUUGAUGUAUUAAUGGUAAUUAAUUGUUAUUUCA